rnacentral:rRNA from 1 species
UACGUAGGGUGCAAGCGUUGUCCGGAAUUAUUGGGCGUAAAAGAGCUCGUAGGCGGUCUGUCGCGUCGGCUGUGAAAUCCCGAGGCUCAACCUCGGGUCUGCAGUCGAUACGGGGCAAAACUAGAGUAUUGCAGGGGGAGACUGGAAAUUCCUGGUGUAGCGGUGAAAAUGCGCAGAUAUCAGGAGGAACACCGGUGGCGAAAGGCGGCCCUUCUGGGACAG